rnacentral:rRNA from 1 species
UACGUAGGGUGCGAGCGUUAAUCGGAAUUACUGGGCGUAAAGGGGUGCGCAGGCGGUUGGGCAAGAAAGAUGUGAAAUCCCAGGGCUUAACCUUGGAACUGCAUUUUUUAACUGCCCGGCUAGAGUGUGUCAGAGGGGGGGGUGGAAUUCCACGUGUAGCAGUGAAAUGCGUAGAAUAUCUGGAGGAACACCGGUUGGCGGAAGGGCACGAACC